rnacentral:rRNA from 1 species
GACGAACGCUGGCGGCGUGCCUAAUACAUGCAAGUUGAGCGAUGAAGAUUGGUGCUUGCACCAAUUUGAAGAGCAGCGAACGGGUGAGUAACGCGUGGGGAAUCUGCCUUUGAGCGGGGGACAACAUUUGGAAACGAAUGCUAAUACCGCAUAAUAACUUUAAACAUAAGUUUUAAGUUUGAAAGAUGCAAUUGCAUCACUCAAAGAUGAUCCCGCGUUGUAUUAGCUAGUUGGUGAGGUAAAGGCUCACCAAGGCGAUGAUACAUAGCCGACCUGAGAGGGUGAUCGGCCACAUUGGGACUGAGACACGGCCCAAACUCCUACGGGAGGCAGCAGUAGGGAAUCUCCGGCAAUGGACGAAAGUCUGACCGAGCAACGCCGCGUGAGUGAAGAAGGUUUUCGGAUCGUAAAACUCUGUUGGUAGAGAAGAACGUUGGUGAGAGUGGAAAGCUCAUCAAGUGACGGUAACUACCCAGAAAGGGACGGCUAACUACGUG